AUGGACAAGUACACGAUUCGCAUCCUUGCACUAGGAGCCCUAGUGUGUCUACAUCUCGUAUGCUCUGCUACUGUUGCUCAAUGCCGAAUCAUGGCUGACACAGAUAGCAAGAAGAUCGUUAUACCGCACGGGCUAUGUGUUGACGUAGGUCCUAACGAUUGUGGGGACGGUGGUUGCUUCCAUUGUUUGGUAAAUAGUGUCUUCUACCGCUCUAUGGAUGAGUGCAAGAGAAAGUGUAACACAUCCUCGUCUUGGCAAGGCAUGCUAGUGGCCAUGACUACGUCCUCUCCUCCUCCUUUACCCGCUCCUUAA
rnacentral:rRNA from 1 species